AUAGUCGCGGUCGAACGUUGGGACGAGUAAGACGUGUGUCGUUAUCCGUAGAAUUUGUUAUGUGUUGAUCGCAGCUAUGAGGUGAAUUUUCUCACGAGGGAAUACAUGACGUCACAUUACACCCUCACUGCCAGAUACGUCUAUGUGACAUGAAUUAUGAUACGUCGUCGCACCUACCUAACUUAACCUAACUCUCAAUCCAAUUUUGUGGUGAUAAUAAUUUAUAUAAUAUAAAUAACUUAAAAAUAAAACAAUAGUAGAAUAUUAAAUAAUAUUUUAUAAUAUAUUUUUUGCCAAAGAGUUAUUAUUUAGAAGAAAAUAUUGAUUUAUCUGGUAGUAUUUAUACAAACAUGAAACGUUAUUUGUGAAAUGUGGCCAUUAUCUUCAGUCAUCGUUUAGUUCUCGUAGAAUAUAUUUUGUUCGCAUUAAAGUCUUAUAUACAUCUUUAAAUAUGGAAUAUCAAAGGAAGCAUUUCCAACAUAUAAUGCUUCAUUGUUUUAAAAAAGACUACAGUGCUAAAGAUACCACAGCUGAGAUUUGCAUCGUAUAUUGUAGUGGUUCUAUAAGUAUUCAGACAGUUCGCUUUUGGUUUAAGAGGUUUGAAAAGGAUAAUUUUCAUUUAGAAGAUGAACGCAGCAGCCGCCCUAGCAAUAUGGAUAUUGAACUAAUCAAGCCCGUUGUUGAUGAAAAUCUGCGAUAUAACAUUCGUGAAUUGCCAAAUAUUUUAAACAUUUCGCGAACAACAGUGCAUAAUCAUUUUUUAGAAAUCGGCUAGUUCAAUUGCUCUGAAUUAUGGAUUCCGCCUCAGAGAACAACCUCGAGUGUGUUUCGAGCUGUGAUUUUCUUCUUCAGCAAAAUAAGAUCGAUCCAUUUUUGGUUAGAUUGGUUACUGAGGAUGAGAUGUGGAUGACUUAUAAAAAUAUUACACGUAAAUGACCUUCGUCCAGUGAUAAUUCUACGGUAACAAGAUCUGAUCUUCAUCUGAAGAAAGUUUUGAUGUCCAUUUGGUGGGACUGCAAGGAUGUCAUAUAUUAUAAACUGCUUUCACAAGGUGAAACAAUCAAUUCAGUGAAAUAUUGUUUCUAAUUGGACAAAUUGAAGAAAACAAUCACUACAAAAAGUUGAGAACGAACGAAUGAGGCGUCGUUUAUCAGUAACGCCAAGCCCUAUGUAUCUUUAGUCAUUAGAAACAAAUUGUUAUCAUUUGAUUGAGAUGUUCUACCUCAUUCGACAUACUCUCCGGAUACUGUCCCGUGUGAUUAUUGCUUAUUUCUUACAUUAAACCAUUCUCUUUGCGCUAAACAAUUGAGUACAAUAAAUGACAAGUGUUCCUAGAACGAUAUUUUGAUAGCAAACCUCAGAAGUUUUAGAAGAAUGCCAUUUUGCAGCUUCCAGAGAGAUGGAGAAAGGUAAUCAAAAAUGGAGAACACAUAAUGCAGAUAUAAAAUAAUAUAAAACAAAAAAAAAAUUGGGACAACCUAAUAUUUCCAAAUUUAAAAGUUGCUAAGUUGAAGAGAGAAUCAGCAAAGCUUUCGUGAUUUUGAGCUCUUGAAGAAGAUUAUAUUUGAAAUAGAAAAAUACAAUAAACAUUAUUACAGGAUCUAGAAAUUGUAAUUUCUCAAGAUGCAGAGAGAAAAAAAAUUGAAACCAAUCGUAAUUAAUAUUUUUCCAAUAUGGCUGGUUUCUUAAAAGCAAAGAAACUUUGAUAAAAAUGCUCAAUAUAUUUCUUAUAUGAGACGUGCGCUCGCGUAUAAUGUGUCUUACAUUAUAUGUGUAUUUCUGCUACAAUGGAAAAGAAACUACAAAAAAGGCAAUACAAGAACUAUACUUAUUAAAAACGAAGAAAAUUCCAAAAGCAUUAACCACUAAAAUUAAAAUUUCAAAACCAGAAGAAGCUAUGACUAACAAAGUCGCUACUAAAAAAUAAUUCUAUCAGGUAUUAUAUGAAUAUAUUCAGGUUAUAUAUAAUUAUUUCAGGAAAACACAUACAAAUGGCUCUUUUCAGUGCCACACAUUUUCUUUCUUCAAAUGGGGAUAAUCUCGGUUCGCCAUCUAUUUUUACAAAAGCUUCAUUUAAUAAAUUGCAUAUUAAUUUCUAUCAUUUAUCAUACCUUCAUUAAUAACAUUGCUGUUUAAAUUGCAAUGGGAUUUCUAUCAAAGGAAAGUAUUUUGUAUAGCAAUAAACGAUCUUGAGAGAAAGGUCUAACGGAUCAUCAAUGGAAGAUUUAUACUAUGCAUGUCAUAUAUUCAGGUACGGACAUAAACCAGCGAUUCUUAAACUUCAUGAGUUCGAAAAUUCCUUUUAUAUGAUUUUGUCGGAUUUCUAACUAUUAACUUUACACUUUUGCUAAUUACAAAAUAACACAAUAUUUUCAUGUAUAUAAGCUAUUUAUUUUUCAAUAUACAAAUUAUUAUGAUCACAAGUUUAAUUUAAUAACUUUGAAAAAAUUAGUUAUGUUCAAAUAAUAAACAAAUUUAGAAUUAAAUAUGUUUUAUGAAAUAUAAAGUAUAUUUAUUGUUGUUUCUUAUGAAAAAAAUUGUGCUGUUUUUUUUUCUACUAGAUGUGCAAUGUCUAAUUAAAUGUUUGAAAUAUGUAUGAGUUAAUUUGGUUCGACAUUCAAUCAAUUUCGAUAAGUUUAGAAAAGAUUAGUAAAACUAACAUACCUAAUUUUGUUUUAUAAACGUUCUUUUUUGUUAAAAUUAGUUUUGAUUGAUUAUAUUUCCUAUACACAGUCUAUCACUACACACAGUCUAACAUCGCUUUUUUUUUAUCUUUACUUUUUACAUUACUAGUAAAUUUAUUUACAGCAAAGGUCUGAUUAAUGAUGUAUGAUUCCAGGAAAUAAUGUUUUGAAAGAUAAAUCCGUACUUACGAUUUAAUUGACUCGUCCAAUCUAGACAGAUUUUGUGUUAAAAUACAAUUUUCCAGAAAUGCUAUUACGAUUAAUAGCUGAAGCAAAUAAAAAAAAAUUCUGAAAUUUUGAAAUAUAAAAUUCGUUAAGAAGUCACAUCCAUCUAAAAUUUUUUUUUUUUAACUAUCUAAAUGGUUCAAAAUGUUAAAAGUAUAUGUCCUCAAAAUUUUACUUCGAUAUCCAUAAAGUUAUAGAAUUCCGAGUAAAACGCAUUCGAGUGUUCAAACAUUCGAGCUUUUUGCUACCUGACUUCGUAUCCACGGGAAACUCACAUUAUCAUUAUUUUGAGUACUAUCUGCCGUUUCAGAAAUUGGUCAAGAAAUAUUCUUUUUAUAACUUUGAUUAAUGUUCAUAAAAACAUGUGAUAUACGCUAAUUGUUUCGAAAAAUCUAGAACAGCAGUAGAUUGAUCAUAAAAAUUGCAACAAAUAUUGUUUUAUGCAUUUUCAACAAAAAUGCCACGCUACAUGUUUGCUACUGAUGCAAACGUUAAAUAUCGAUAUUACAGCCGAAAUUGCGUUACAUGCUGCGAGUACACAAAGCCUGAAAGCGUAUCGAUGUGUAACUGAUAUUCGAACGUAAAAGAUCAGAUUCGAAAGGAGAUUCGAGAGAUUUAUAGACGUCAACAAUCCCUUUCCAUGAACAUGCAAUUGUUGUUGAACAAUUGCAUCAAUUCCAGAAUCCUAUUCCAUAUAUUUCUCAAAAGAAAUAAAGUCAACAUGGUCCUGGAAUUGAUGACCAGAGAAAGUUAAAAAUUCUUCACUUACACAACAACAAUAGUACCAUAUUUGAAAUUUCAAAUGCUUUAUUUUCAGUGCGUUGUUUUCGAAGUCACACUAGUCAUGACAUCUGAAAAAUCACUCGAUGGAUCGUUUUCAAAUUUACAAGAUACAUUUAGAAACGUUUAGAAGUUUUACUUUUACAAUUUUAACUUUUUCUGUUUUUAAUAGAUUUUCAUUUAUUAAUAAUUACGUAAAACAUGUCUUUUCUCAUAAAUAUUUUAUGUUUCAAAUCAUCGCCAUAUUAUAAAAAAGAAUUCAUUUUUAAAAUUGCUGAUCGUCAAAUAUUCAUCUUUAAUUUAAAUAAACCGUUUCGUUUUUCGAUUUCAAAUGAAUCGUUUCAGCUAGAGCAUUCAGCUCUGAAUAUCUCAAAAUAAAAAUUGUCCACCUCCGGUCAUAUUUUUUUUGUUUUCCAAUAUUUUUAGAUGAUUUUUUAUAAAGUUUCGCAAUAUAUGUGCAUUGAAAUAAAAAAUCUUUCGUUCCAUUUGUACUUUACUUUUCUGAGAACAAAAAUUCUGAAUUUCAACUUUUUUUUCGGAUCUGUAAAUGGAUUUGUACAGAAUUUUAUAUUAGAUUUUAUAUGCAUAGAAAAGAGACAUUUGUAGCGAAUAUAAUAUAAAAAAAAUAUGAUUAAAGAAUGAAUAAGCUACCUUGUGGAAAUAAGAUUGGAUAGAUCUAAACAUUAAAAAUAUUGUAAAAAGUUAAAAACAAUACCAUUUCUAUUUUUAGGCAAAGUGACAUUUAAUAUUUAUGUGAAUAUGUAUGAAUGUUCCACGUUAUGUAAAAUUAUACUGCAUUAUGCAAAUACUGUGUACAAUUUGUAAACUUUUUAUCAAAACUGCAUUUAUAAAUGUCGCAUUAAGCAAGUAUUACAUGUAAGAUAAACAUGUCAUAAGUAGAGAUAAAAAAAUUCAAUAACUUGUAAAAAUUAUAAUAAUUCAUCUGAAUUCUGUAGUACUGUAUGUAGAAGACGAUGUAUAUGCAUACGGGGACAUAUAUUUAACAACAAAGGAAAAUGUGUUUUACCCAGUAAAUGUUAAUCUCUCAUCUCAAUGAAAAAUGUACUUGGAGAAGUUCUGUGAAAACAUCUAAUUUAAACAGAGAAAAAAAGGAAGAAAUAAAGAUAGAAGUAGAAGAAGUAAUAGAAUAACAAGAAGAAAAAGAGUUGGAGAUAUCGGAGAAUCGAUGCAAGGGUAGAUAAGAAUGAUUUCCAAGGUGGCAAGUUUUCAAAACUAUGGAUUUUCGUUGCAUAUUGGCAUUUCUAUCCAUAUCCCAAUUCCCUGUUUGGUCUCUCAACAAACAAAUUGUCGAUUUCACGAAAGUUGAACUAUCGGAGAUUCUAGAAAACGAAUGAGAGAAAACGAAGAUAAGGGAGGAGAAAGAUCAAAAGAGACACUCAGGAAUUGAUAGAGAAACAGAAAUAAAUGAGGAAAAGAGGAAGAAACCAAAACGAAGCAUCGCGAUGUUACGAGCGAUAGCAAAAUAAUUUUCCUUUUAAUUUACUCUCUCUCUCUCCUUCCUCCCCCUCUCUCUUUCUUUCUUUCUUUUUCUUUCCCCGCUCUCCUCUCUCUUUCAAGUUUAUCUGCAAUUCGUGCUAUGAGUAUAUAAGGACCGAUAGACGCUUUGUGUACUUAACCCUUUCGCUCUGACGGGCGUAUAUAUACGCCUUCGAAGAAUGACCAUUCAUGUACGAAGAGCGUACAUAUACGUUCAUACCAUAUAUACUUUUAUUUCAUACUUUAUAUGAGAUACUUUUGUUAAUCCAGUAUCUGGCAACGCUGCAUGCAAAAAGAAAGAGCCGUUGACAAAAUUGAUAUGGUUUUAAAAUCUGUUAAAUGUAUUCGUAAAAGUUUAAAAUGGUACAAAAAAUAUUUUUUUCACGUGCUAGACAUAGUUGUGUGGAAUGCAUAUUGUUUAUUCCAAUCAGCAAUUGCGACAAAAUUAUCGUUUGCCAAAUUUCAUUUAACUUUUAUACGACAAUUAUUGCAAACAUACGGGAAACAAAAAUCGGAUAUGAAAUGUUCAAUUGCACGAAAUAAUAAUAAUCCUGAAAGAGUUACUGAAAGGCAUUUUCCGUCUAUAUAUUCGAUGAGGCGUCAAAAAAAAUCCAGUUCGAAAAUGUGUCGUCUGCAGUAAACGAGGAAAAAGACGUGAGUCGAGAUAGUAUUGUUCACAAUGUAAUGUUGGAUUAUGUGUGGUUCCAUGCUUUAAAAUUUACCAUACCAAAGUUGAUUAUUAAUAUUAUGUUCGGCUUUAAAUACUUCAGUAAUUUCGUUGUAUUAAAAAAUAUUACAUGAACAUUAUAAUAUAAUAAUAAAAUAUUAAAAAAAAUAAAUUUUGAUUAUACAUUUUUAUAUUUUAGAAAGUAAGAUGAUAUUACUGAAUAUAAUAAAUGUCAUUGUAAAAUUUAGAGAACAAGAAACGACUUCUAAUUACUUCGUAGCAUUCCGUACUUCAGUGUCAACUACUCAGUAAUGCGGUCUGUUCACAGCGAUCAUAUUGUGGCGCAAGCGCUCCGUAGCGAAAGGGUUAACACGUUCGAUAUCACAAUUGUUCAGCAUUUAUUUAUGCAAGUCGACUUCUUUGGUGGAAAGAGAAGAGAUCCCUCUUUUUGAGGCAACGAAUGAACAAGCGAUGACGAAUAAAGAAAAAGAUUUUUCUAAGAGCGAUUCGUCCAGUUCCAAAGUAAAGAUAGUCGUCCCCAAUCCUGGCAUAGAUACGAGGUCGCUCAUGGAAAUUGUAAUCCUGGAAUCGUCUGAUAUCAAAUACCAAAUAAAUAUAAUAAUACAAAAUAUGCAUAAUAAUAGUAUAUAUACACAAUAAUACCAUAAUCGGUAGGAUGUUUUUAGAGAGAUAAGUUUGUUGACGCACACGUACGUCUCUCCAUUGUUCAGGGUAGUUUGUCUUAAGGGUUAUAUAUCACCAUUGAAAAUAUUUAUCCGUAGGAAUCUAUUGGAUAUUAACUAACAAAGCGCAUAGAUAAAAACAUGUGGCCACCUUUGUCUGGGCCUAGGCAUUCUUAGUAAAGUACCUAGGUUUUGAUAAUGUCAAUCUGGCCAAUAAGUAAAUAACGAAAGUAGACGCCUAAGCGCAAUAAGCUAAGGGUUAUCUGGCUUCUACCUUUGUAAUAUUCAUUAUCAAUCUUUAAUCACAAACCACUAGAACAAAGGGGCGGGGCACACAUGGAAUGUUUAACACGUUGACUGCCGCGCGAAUUUUACGUGACUUGCGCAAGGCGCCAACAUAAAUUUUUUGGUAUGCGAUGCAUAUUAUGUUCAAAUAUUAUUUACAGCAGAUAAGGUGUAAGGAGUUGUAUAAACGUGUCUUAUGCAAUUUUCGUGGUGGGGGUUACCGGUGGCCCCCAAGGCGCUGUAGACCAUUUUGCUCGUAUGAGAAGCCAAAAAUGGUAGUAGAUUAUAAUUUAGGGAAAUCUUCAGUUGAUUUGUCUGAUCAAAUGACUGCUUAUAGUUCACCAUUGCGAAAAACUGUAAAGUGGUAUUGAAAAUUGGCAAUAGAGCUUUUGCUGAAUACUUGUAAAUUCAAUGUUAUACAAACAAGCAACUUGAAAAAAUAUUUCAGUCACUGAUUUUAGGAUGAAGUUAGCGAUGUAUUUAAUGAAAUGUUUUGAUGAUGAAGAUUCCAUUUCAUCAAUAAAUUGCGUACAGAAAAAACGUCGUCAUGAACUUAAAAGGGAACCGGGAAGUAUGCGAAAUGUAAGGCGAUUUUGCAAAGAGUGCUACGAAAAAAAAAUUCAAAACAGCUAGGAAGAAUAAGAGCACUAAAAAAGUGGCGACAUAUUGUGCCGACUAUCGUAGUUCACCUUUUCUUUGCCUACCGUGUUUCAAUAUGACUCAUCGUUAUGUGCACAAAUAAUAUGUAUAUUUUCCUUGUAUUAAUAAAAUUAUAAUUACAUGUUCUGUACGGCAUUAAUUUCUUUAUCUGAUUAAAUACAUGGUGAGAUUUACAUAGCGCGCAUCAUUUAAUAUCGCGCAUUUACUUCUUCAUUUCUCACAGGAUCCUUUAAAAGAGCGUGCGUACUCCCAUUAAUUUGCGGAAACGCGGCGAGCGGUAUUUUGCUGAUUGUCUACAACGGUAUCCUAGUCUAGUGCCGCCGCUCUUAUUCAUCGCGACCAAUGGGUCUAUAGCUCGGACAACAAGGACAAGGCGGGGGACAUUUCCUCCAAAAUACGUAUCAUAAAAUAACAGUAUUAAUAAAAUUUAAAAUUGCAUAUAAGUUUAAUUCAUUGAACAAGAAAGUAAUAUAUAUAUCUUAAUUACUAUUGUCUUCAAAAAUAACAAUCUUCAAAAAUGCCGAUAUUCUUUCCGAAUCAGUGUCCAAAUUCU